AUGAUUUUAUUUGAAAACGGAAGACACUGAUUCAUAUUGGUUAAUCUAUUAAUUAUCUUAUCUUGUUUUAUUUAAUACUACAUAUUUAUACUCUAACCCGGUACGAUAGUCAGUAGCGAUUUUUGAGCGGAUUAAUUUAAUACGCAUUGAAAAAUCAUGAAAAGCUCGAUUCUCAUUGUGCUAGCAGCUUUGGCAGUCUGCCUUAGCGUAGCUGAUCAGGAAUCGCAUAUUUCAUCCGUUGGUAAUCAGAAACCGGGAGAUCGACUUCUGUGGAGAUUUGUAAAUGUAGCCGUGGGUAUCCCGGAUGUACGACAACGAAUCAUGGCUCAAGUUCAGUUAUCUAAUACUAUUAAGGUUAAUUAUGUAACGUUUGAGGAUAAAGAUCCCUCGUCAGGAGGCUUUGUUUCCUACAUGGGAGGAUUUGCAAACAACCAUCUUACUGUUAUGCUACAAUCUCAGUGGAACGGAGGAUUUCAUUUUAUUACCGAUUUGUAUGGACAGGAUUCAGCGUCAACAGAACCGGCGAACAUGAGCUCCGCGGUGCAAACAAAUUGUACUUUGACAGUGGAGGAUGGAAAAACUACCCAAAUUUUUGACUGCGAUUUGGAUUUGCAUUAAAAAAGAGUUGUUUAUUC